CGCUGGCGGCACGCUUAACACAUGCAAGUCGAACGAAGAUGUUUCACCGUAGCUUGCUACACCGAGACAUUUUAGUGGCGGACGGGUGAGUAACACGUGAGCAAUCUGCCUUUCAGAGGGGGAUACCAGUUGGAAACGACUGUUAAUACCGCAUAACAUAUCGAGAUCGCAUGAUAUUGAUAUCAAAGAUUUAUCGCUGAAAGAUGAGCUCGCGUCUGAUUAGAUAGUUGGUGAGGUAACGGCUCAUCAAGUCGACGAUCAGUAGCCGGACUGAGAGGUUGGACGGCCACAUUGGGACUGAGACACGGCCCAGACUCCUACGGGAGGCAGCAGUGGGGAAUAUUGCACAAUGGGCGCAAGCCUGAUGCAGCGAUGCCGCGUGAGGGAAGAAGGUUUUAGGAUUGUAAACCUCUGUCUUCAGGGACGAUAAUGACGGUACCUGAGGAGGAAGCUCCGGCUAACUACGUG
rnacentral:rRNA from 1 species